UGGAGGUGCACCGGUGCUCCCUCCUGGAGGUGCACCGGUGCUCCCUCAUGGAGGAGCCCCUCCUGCCCCAGGACUGCCUUUGCUUCAACAGCAAAGGCAGCAGAUAAUAGCCCAGCUGAGGGCUGUGAAUAGACAGAUUUAUGCCAAUCUACCAAGGAGAGCUGGCAGGGGCAGGGGCCGCAGGCCAAGGCCCAGAGGGGCUGUAACAAAAAA